AAACUAACUAGGAUGCCUUCAGUAACGGCGAGCGAAGCAGGCAUAGCUCAAAUUUGUAAUCUGGCGCCCUUGGCGUCCGAGUUGUAUUUUCUAGAAGCGAGUUCGGCGACAGCUCCUGCCCAAGUCCGUUGGAACGCGGCGUCAUGGAGGGUGAGAAUCCCGUGAAUGGUAGGAUGUCUGUGCUAUGUGAACCGCCUUCGAAGAGUCGAGUUGUUUGGGAAUGCAGCUCUAAAUGGGAGGUAAAUUUCUUCUAAAGCUAAAUAUUGGCCAGAGACCGAUAGCGAACAAGUAGAGUGAUCGAAAGAUGAAAAGAACUUUGAAAAGAGAGUUAAACAGUACGUGAAAUUGUUGAAAGGGAAGCGCUUGAGAUCAGACUUCCUGUCUGGACUGUCCUUGCUUUUUGCUUGGGUCAACAGUCCAGGCGUGGAGGCCAGCAUCAGUUUUGACGGCCGGAUAAAGGCCCUGGGAAGGUAGCUCCCCUCGGGGAGUGUUAUAGCCCAGGGUGCAAUACGGCCAGUCGGGACUGAGGACCGCGGCUCUGCCUAGGAUAUGCUGGCGUAAUGGUCUUAAGCGAC
rnacentral:rRNA from 1 species